AACGAACGCUGGCGGCAGGCCUAACACAUGCAAGUCGAACGCUCGUAGCAAUACGAGAGUGGCAGACGGGUGAGUAACACGUGGGAACCUUCCCUAUGGUUCGGAAUAGCUCAGGGAAACUUGAGGUAAUACCGGAUAAGCCCUUCGGGGAAGGAUUUAUCGCCAUUGGAUGGGCCCGCGUCGGAUUAGCUAGUUGGUGAGGUAACGGCUCACCAAGGCAACGAUCCGUAGCUGGUCUGAGAGGAUGAUCAGCCACACUGGGACUGAGACACGGCCCAGACUCCUACGGGAGGCAGCAGUGGGGAAUAUUGGACAAUGGGCGCAAGCCUGAUCCAGCCAUGCCGCGUGAGUGACGAAGGUCUUCGGAUU
rnacentral:rRNA from 1 species